CUAUUCCAUAAGAGUGGAAUAGGAAAUUAAGAUGAGGAUGGUAUCAUCAUAAAGAAAGAUAGAGUAAUAUAAUAUCCUAAAUUCUACUAAUCCACAUAUCGUAUGUGUGUCUUUCUUUAUCUUUAUCGAUCGGGAGUAGUGAAAAAAAAUUCCUAUAUGCCUUCCCUCCCUCUUUAAUGAGGGAUGCAAAAUAAAAAAGUGAAGUAAGGGUGCCCUGUGGGUAUUUGAUCUUGCUCCCUGCCCCUUUUUUUCAUGGAAAAAGGAAAUAUCAAUUUCUCCAUUCAUUGAACCCUAGUUCGGGACUGACGGGGCUCGAACCCGCAGCUUCCGCCUUGACAGGGCGGUGCUCUGACCAAUUGAACUACAAUCCCCGCGGGGUGUAUGGCAUACCCAUUCUUAAAUAGAACCAUAAGAAGAUUCGAUUCGUCUUUCGUACUCUAAGAAAUAGACGAAUCAUAUACUACAUACCCACAUAUUAUAUUAUACGUGGGUAUAGUGAGAGUGACAUAACUAGUAUGUCGUGAUUUUUUAUCACUAAAAAUGGAUAAUAAUCCAGCCUUCAAUAAGAAAAACUCUUUUGUUUGUAAGAAAGGAAUGAGAGAGAUAUGGAUUAGAAAAAAAAAAUUUCCCUUUUUUCUUUAUCUUUUAUUUCUAUAGAUCAGACAUUUUAUUUUAUGGAAGAAAAACAAAAGGAUUUAGUUCAUACUCACGAAGCCCUAGAUUUUUGGUUUGGGCCGAGCUGGAUUUGAACCAGCGUAGACAUUGUCAACGAAUUUACAGUCCGUCCCCAUUAACCACUCGGGCAUCGACCCAGGAAGAAUUUAUUCUAGGGUUUUUGCUAAUCUAUGAUUAACCUCCUUUCAUAAUACUCCCUACCCCCAGGGGAAGUCGAAUCCCCGCUGCCUCCUUGAAAGAGAGAUGUCCUGAACCACUAGACGAUAGGGGCAUCACUAGACGAUAGGGCCAUAUACAACCGCUCGUGAUUAUACUAUAAUCAUAGUAUGAGCAGUUUUUUGGAAUUGUCAAUAUACUCGAAAAGUAUAAAUAGAUCCAAAGCAAAGAGUUUUUCCAACUUUUUUGUUUGUAAGAAAGGAAUGAGAGAGAUAUGGAUUAGAAAAAAAAUUUCCCUUUUUUCUUUAUCUUUUAUUUCUAUAGAUCAGACAUUUUAUUUUAUGGAAGAAAAACAAAUGGAAGAAAAACAAAAGGAUUUAGUUCAUAUUCAUGAAGCCCUAGAUUUUUGGUUUGGGCCGAGCUGGAUUUGAACCAGCGUAGACAUUGUCAACGAAUUUACAGUCCGUCCCCAUUAACCACUCGGGCAUCGACCCAGGAAGAAUUUAUUCUAGGGUUUUUGCUAAUCUAUGAUUAACCUCCUUUCAUAAUACUCCCUACCCCCAGGGGAAGUCGAAUCCCCGCUGCCUCCUUGAAAGAGAGAUGUCAUGAACCACUAGACGAUAGGGGCAUCACUAGACGAUAGGGCCAUAUACAACCGCUCGUGAUUAUACUAUAAUCAUAGUAUGAGCAGUUUUUUGGAAUUGUCAAUAUACUCGAAAAGUAUAAAUAGAUCCAAAGCAAAGAGUUUUUCCAACUUUUCUGUUAUGUUUUCAUCUAGGAUUUUUUUUAGUUGAUCGUUAUAGAUUAAUUCUCCGUGCUUCAUUUAGUGUUCAGACCAAAAAUGCAUCCAUCCCGCACUAAGUCAUAAAAUUCUCUAAAAAUAUAGAGAAAGUUUCAAAAACAAAGAACAAAAGUGAAUCAAUUUAGUAGAAAAGUACUCUAUCAGAUUCGAACCAACGACUUACGUCUUAGCACGAGAUUACUCUACCACUAAUUUAAAAAGCCCUUUAUCGGAUUUGAACCGAUGACUUAUGCCUUACCAUGGCAUUACUCUACCACUGAGUUAAAAGGGCUUUUUAUUUAAUUCAAAAAUUAGCCACUUGGAUUUCCCAUUAUGGGUCUACUGCAUAAUGUACAUAUUAUAUAUAUAAUAUAUAGAGAUAGAGAGAGAGACAUUAUGUAGAGAUUGUAUAUGUAUAUAUCGAUAUCUUGAGAGCUCAAAAUAAAAUUAAUAAAAAAAAACAUACCCUACAUAACAUAUCCAACUCUUCUUGGUUCAGGGUUUUCCGUUUCCGAAGACUAGUAAAAUAGGCGGAUUCUGGAACCCCAAGGAUUCAACGGUAUAUGGAUAUGGAAAAUAUAAGAUUUCCGAUCCUAGCGGGAAAAGGCGGGGAACAGAUACCCAAUAGGAUAUAGGAUCCUUGGGAGGAACUUUUGGUAAUGGCCUUGAUCCUCUAUGCUAUUUUUUAUG
rnacentral:lncRNA from 1 species